CGUGCCGCCGGCAUAUGCUGUUGUGUACAGAUGCUUGCACCUGUCGGCACCACUCUUCAGUAGUAUGCACAAACUACCCAGAGCAGCAUGCAGCAUUGCCUACGACCCAACACAUCUCACCUGAAACUGAUUUGGUCUGCAGUGACACAGCUCAUGACUGAUAGCAGCCAGCCAACCGUAAGGAUUCGGGACUGACAAACUUGUUGAGCAAUCAUGUGCAUGAUGGAUAGCAGCCAGCUCUAGAGUGUCCCACCACCUCUGGGAUAUCUUGCAACAAAUCUUAUGACAGAUCUGUGUCAGCAUCAGUGGAUGCCGGAACUGUCUUUCUUUGGCCGACAACCGCAUCCCGCAGCACGGGUGAUAGCACAUCUUCUUCUUAUCAUAUUAUCUACAUGACUGUAAUAUUGUCAUUAUAAUUUAACCUGUACCUUCAUUUUAAAUUGUUUCCAGAGGACCUAUGAUCUUCUUACUGGAGCUCCUAUACCAGAAAAGUUAGGCAUGAAAUAUGAUCGGAAUGUCCGGAGACCCAUGAAAGCGUGACAGUAAUAGUAACUUUACAGAUUAUGCCAGUACUAAGACUUUAUUAUUAUAAUCAGAGACUUCAUGCUAGGAAAUAAUAAAUUAUCCUUCUAGUGUACUUGUCCUAUUUCCUAUUUUGUGCAGGCUCCUUGUUGUAUAAUAUGUUCUCAAAUGUGACAUACAUUAUUACAAUGUAUUACUAUUGUGAAAUGACCCAAAGGCAGUAUGCCUAUCGAGGGGUUCAUUUGAUUGAAAGAACAGUACUACUACUAG